rnacentral:lncRNA from 1 species
AAGAAGGCUACAAUCAUCAGCGUUGCAUCGACAACAUUUUUCUACAUGCUUUGCGGCUGUUUUGGAUAUGCUGCGUUUGGAAAUUCAAGUCCUGGAAACCUUUUAACCGGUUUUGGUUUCUAUAACCCAUUUUGGCUCCUUGACAUAGCCAAUGCUGCCAUAGUUAUCCACCUCAUUGGUGCGUACCAAGUCUACUGCCAACCCCUUUAUGCAUUCGUCGAAAAUUACACGGCAAAAAGAUUCCCUCGCAGUGAUUUUGUGAAUAAGAACAUAAAAAUUCCAAUCCCUGGCAUACAAAUGUACAAGCUCAACCUAUUUAGGUUGGUUUGGAGGACAAUUUUUGUAAUAUUAACAACUUUGGUAUCUAUGCUCCUUCCAUUUUUCAAUGACAUAGUUGGACUUCUUGGUGCACUCGGAUUUUGGCCUCUUACAGUUUAUUUUCCGGUGGAGAUGUAUAUAAUUCAAAAGAGAAUACGGAAGUGGAGCUCGAAAUGGAUCUGUCUUCAAUUGCUUAGUGUUGCGUGUCUUAUAAUCUCUAUAGCUGCUACUGUUGGUUCUGUUGCUGGGAUUAUACUUGAUCUUAAAGUUUUUAAGCCAUUCAAAACUAUGUAUUGAUUAAAUAUUGUGACUACAUUAAAUUUGUGUAUGAUCAGUAUAUAAUUUGAGAUUUCAUGAGAUACAUACUUUAUAUUGCAGCUUGUGUGAAGGGAUUAAUAUUGGAAGGGGGAAAUGUUGUACACAACUGUGUGAGACUAUUUUAUUACAUGGAAAAAUAUUUUAUUGUAAGUUGAACCUUGAACAUGAACAUGGACUGAAAUGUUUUCUUUUUGUUUUUCCUUCCUUCGGAUCCAAUGCAAUAUGAAAGAAAUAAAACAGUUUAUAGACUCUUGUUAUCUUCUUGAGUUGGCUAUUGUAAUUAGAAUUUUGAAAACUAAUCUUCACUAAAAAAUUAUUACAUGGAUAACAUAAGAAAAAAGUAGAAGAAUUUGAUAUCCAAUUUCAAUUUAUUUGGUUUGUGUGUAGAGAGAGAAUGAAAGUAAAAUUAAGAGUAAAUGGUCAUUUUAGUCCCGGACUCUGUAGCUCGCUGUCAUAAAGGUCUCUUGACUCACGAUUAAAAACAAAGUAGUCUCUGAAUGUGCACUUCCGUUAUCAGUUUAGUCAUUGGCGUUAAAAAAUUAUGUUAACUAAUGAGGUGGCAAAUGUUUUGUGCUGACAAGGUGCGUGAGUUGUCACAAGGGCUAAAGUGAAAGUAUAAAAUGGUCACUUUGGUCCUUGAACCGAAAAUCCUCCAAAUUAAAUCUCAAAUCCUUAAAUUCCGAAUUUAAUCCCCAAAUCCCUAAAUCUCAAAUCUCUAAAUCUCAUCUAAUUUCCUCUUUAGUUCAAAAUUAAAUCUUCCAUUAAACACCAAAAUUGAAUCACAUGAUGGAUGUUGGUGCAAACUUGUCUUAACAAAGUGUUGCUCAUUCAUCAAGAAUUGAGUCAUCUUCCUCAAUGAAGUUGUCCUGAGCAUAUAGAAGAAACAAAUAGAAAACAUUAAAAUGGUCAUUAAGGUCGCUGAGUGUGCAUACUUACUAUCAGUUAGGUCCCUAACAGUAAACACUUACUGUUACUAAGGUCCCUGACAAACCAUAGGUAUUAAUGUUGAAGAGAAUGUUGUUGAGAAUGAUUUUCCUAACAACAAUGACAUUUACCAUUCUGAAGAACUAAGGAUCCCUAUUACCAAUGAUGAAUGUGAUGGAAAUGAAGAACAGGUUUUCCCUCUGUUUAAUUCAAAUGCAAAGUUUGCAAGUUCACUUAGAGAUAGGAAUGAAAUUUGAUACUUUGGAUAUAUUCAAUGAAGUUGUGAGGAACUACACAAUAUACCAUGGAAGAAAUAUAAAGUGGUUGAAAAAUAACAAACAAUAGUAUAGAGCUAUAUGCAAUGAUCAAGAAUGCAAUUCAAUGAUACAAACUCUACGUACUUUUUAUAUAGUAGUGAUUAUUUUUAUACGUGUUUAUGAUGCUGCCACUUUGUGCAUGUACGUGUUUAUUGUCAUUUUAGUCCCUGUAAUAAUUUUCUACUCUCACUUUAGUCCAAUGUGACACCUCAUCAGUUAACAUAAUUUUUUAACGUUAAGGGACUAAACUGAUAACGGAAAUGCACAUUCAAGGACUAAUUUAUACUUAAUCAUGAGUCAAGGAACUUUGUGAUAACGAUGUGCAGAGUCAGAUACUAAAAUGGUAUGUGUUUAUUCUCCCUUAUAUAUAGCCCACGUUCGACACCAUCUUCCUUCAUUACAUAAACUAGACACACGUUUAUUCAAAUCAUCUAAUAUUGUUAUAAGCAAGAGUGCCCAAAAGGGCAGCACAUACACACAACAAACACCUUCUUUGUGUCUCAUCCUUUCCUCUCUUUGACUUCCAACAUCACUGUUUUUGCCUGUACUUCCUAACUCUUAUAGUUAAAUUAGUUUUUGUUGACUUUUUUUGAGCUUUUGCAUGAAUUAAACGUUCUUACAUGUUUCUGCCUCGUAGUAAAUCAUUAUUAAUUAACCACUCUAAACUAGUACAUCUCUGAGCUGUACCCUUCUUUGCCACUUUUCCAAAUAUUUAUAUUAGAACCUUUCUUCUAGUACAUACUCCCCAUUGUUCACCAAAUUCAAGAAUCAAGAUUGUUUUUUCAUCACAAUAUUAGUUGGAAAUUUUUAUAAACCUAACUCUGGUUGAUUAGUCUUUUAUCAUAACAAAGAUGGUUGACAAGAAUGGUAGCACGAAUCAUCACCAAACAUUUGAUGUCUCCAUUGAUCAACAAAGAGAUUCUAAGUACUUCGACGAUGAUGGUCGCGUCAAAAGAACCGGUAAUUAAGUAUUGACUUUUAUUUUGUUUGCAUACUCGACCCAAAUUCUAAUAUGUUUCUUGAAAAACACAGGAACUGUUUGGACUGCAAGUGCACAUGUAAUAACAGCUGUGGUAGGGUCUGGAGUUCUGUCUCUAGCUUGGGCUAUUGCUCAACUCGGAUGGAUUGCUGGUCCUAUUGUCAUGAUUCUCUUUGCUUGGGUUACUUACUACACUGCCAUUCUUCUUUGUGAAUGUUAUCGUAAUGAUGAUCCUAUCAAUGGCAAGAGAAACUACACUUACAUGGAUGUUGUUCAUUCCAAUCUUGGUAAAUUCUUCUCUGUGAAUAUAUAUAAAGAAAAGCAAAUUCAAAAAAAAUUCAGUAUGAAAUGUUUACUUUUGUUUUUGUGUUUAUGUUUGUUUAGGUGGUUUUCAAGUCACGUUAUGUGGGAUAGUUCAGUAUCUAAACCUUGUAGGAGUUGCCAUUGGAUACACUAUAGCUUCUGCCAUAAGCAUGAUGUAAGUUUAAUUGAGAUCUUAAUCAUUUAGUUAAUUUCAUUGAAGAAAAUAUCCAAAGAAUAUGGUAUAAUUAACUUUGGUUAAUUCUGUAUGAAACAGGGCAAUUGAAAGGUCAAAUUGUUUCCAUAGAAGUGGUGGAAAAGAUCCAUGUCACAUGAAAAGCAAUAUUUACAUGAUUUCAUUUGGUGCAGUGCAAAUUAUAUUCUCUCAAAUUCCAGAUUUUGAUCAAUUGUGGUGGCUCUCCAGUUUAGCUGCUGUUAUGUCCUUUACAUACUCCACAAUUGGUCUUGGCCUUGGUAUUGGAAAAGUUAUAGGAAAUAAAAAGAUUGAUGGAACCAUGGCUGGGGUAACUGAUGUGACAAAAGCUCAGAAAGUUUGGGGGAGUUUGCAAGCUCUUGGUGACAUAGCCUUUGCAUACUCAUACUCCAUGAUCCUUAUAGAAAUUCAGGUAUUAGUUCAUUUUCCUAUAUUUUCUUUGUUAUAAGACUUGUUUUGUUCCACAACAUUAUAAAAAUAUUUCCAACAAGCAUAAAAUCCAAGUCCUGUAUUGUAAAAAAGAAAAGGCUUGAAAAAUAAGUAUAAUGAAUGAUAUUUAUCUUCUUAUAAGUUAGUUUUAUAGGGUUGAGUUAAGCUCAAUCAAAAUUUAAAAAAUUAUGUUGUUAUGAAUCAGGACACGGUAAAAGCACCACCUCCGUCUGAGGCAAAAACAAUGAAGAAGGCUACAAUCAUCGGCGUUGCAGCGACAGCAUUUUUCUACAUGCUUUGUGGCUGUUUUGGAUACGCGGCAUUUGGAAAUUCAAGUCCUGGAAACCUUUUAACCGGUUUUGGUUUCUAUAACCCAUUUUGGCUCCUUGACAUAGCCAAUGUUGCCAUAGUUAUCCACCUCAUUGGUGCAUACCAAGUCUACUGCCAACCCCUUUAUGCAUUCGUUGAAAAUUACACAGCGAAAAGAUUCCCUCAGAGUGAUCUUGUGAAUA